GAUGAACGCUAGCGGCAGGCCUAACACAUGCAAGUCGAGGGGUAGAAGGAUUAAGCUUGCUAAAUUGCUGACGACCGGCGCACGGGUGCGUAACGCGUAUGCAACCUACAUUAUACUGGGGUAUAGCCCGGAGCAAUUCGGAUUAAUCCCCCAUAGUACUAAUGAAUCGCAUGGUUUAUUAGUUAAAGCAUUGCGGUAUAAGAUAGGCAUGCGUCCUAUUAGCUAGAUGGUGAGGUGACUGCUCACCAUGGCUACGAUAGGUAGGGGGCCUGAGAGGGUGGUCCCCCACACUGGUACUGAGACACGGACCAGACUCCUACGGGAGGCAGCAGUGGGGAAUAUUGGGCAAUGGGCGCAAGCCUGAACCAGCCAUGCCGCGUGCAGGAAGAAUGCCCUAUGGGUUGUAAACUGCUUUUAUUUGGGAAUAAACCUCUUUACGUGUAGAGAGCUGAAGGUACCAAAUGAAUAAGCACCGGCUAACUCCGUGCCAGCAGCCGCAGUAA
rnacentral:rRNA from 1 species